AUCAUGGCUCAGGAUGAACGCUAGCUACAGGCUUAACACAUGCAAGUCGAGGGGCAGCAUGGUCUUAGCUUGCUAAGGCCGAUGGCGACCGGCGCACGGGUGAGUAACGCGUAUCCAACCUGCCUUACGACUCUUGGACAGCCUUCUGAAAGGGAGAUUAAUACAAGAUGUUAUCAUGGGUAAGCAUUUUCACAUGAUUAAAGGUUUACCGGUGUAAGAUGGGGAUGCGUU
rnacentral:rRNA from 1 species